UACGUAGGGGGCGAGCGUUGUCCGGAUUUAUUGGGCGUAAAGAGCGUGUAGGCGGCCAGGUAGGUCCGUUGUGAAAACUCGAGGCUCAACCUCGAGACGUCGAUGGAAACCAUCUGGCUAGAGUCCGGAAGAGGAGAGUGGAAUUCCUGGUGUAGCGGUGAAAUGCGCAGAUAUUCGGAAGGAACACCUGUGGCGAAAGCGGCUCACUGGACCACAACUGACGCUGAGGCACGAAAGCUAGGGGAGCAAACAGG
rnacentral:rRNA from 1 species